GGAAAAUGAAAGGUUAAUACGGAAUAGAGAAAAAUACCCCGCUCUGUCCCUAUCAGGAUUUUACUUGGACAGUUGCUUGGUAGAAAAAUCAUCAGUGAGCUCUGUGAUAGCUGGUCCCUCUGUAAUUUUUCAGAAGGCCUUGCCAGAGGGGCCUUGCUAGAUUCGGAUUUGAGCCGCGUUUUGAAGUGAUAGCAAACCUAACCAAUCAUGUUUUGGGUGGAUUCUUUUAUCGAUGGAAUUAUGACGAGUUCCGCCAGCAAGAAGUCCUAACCGCGUCAUCGGCGCGUAGUGGGGUGACGAUCCUGUGUCCGUCUCUGUUCUGAAUAUCAAUCGUAGCCAAGCUAGCAGUCAUUGCCAUUUUAUUACAAUGUCACCGAAGUACAUUAAGUCGUUGUUUCCUAAACGUGGGCGGCAUUUCGCUGUGGCAUGCUAGGCCAGCUGCAAUAUAUUUAAACAUUUCUCAGUGUUUUAAAUUAUCGUAUCGUCCGGCAAUCGACGCUGAGAAGUGGGCACCUGGUGUAGAUUAUGUUAGCCAGCUGUUGGUUUAUGGAGGAGAAAUGAAAACAGUCAUUUCAUUCUAUUCGAACAAUCAUUCGAUCGAUGCUUUCUUUACGAAAAGGGAGGAAAGUGAUUCAGCUGGCCUGCCCUAUAGCCAGUGUUCCUCAGUCGGGUAGUAUCAGUGCUGUUUCUGGUUUUCAAACGAAUUACGUUUAAAUGGCUAACAUUGAUCGAGGACCGCAGAGAAAAUUCUAAAGCCGGCAGUAGUGCUGCUAUCACUAGAUCGGUGUGGUGCCUCGCAGCUGGAGCAAUCAAGUCGCAGCCACAAUGCUAACCGCUCUGGCAGUGCAAGCUCCAUUUAAUGGAUGAUGCUAAUUGAUUACUUCUGGAUUAAAGACCCUCAAGAGCAUAAAAAAGAUAUGUCGACCGCUUCACUGAUUUCCUACGGAAUCACUUUCCCCAUCGCGGGUUGGGCCUACAGAGUGUAUGACGUUUUUGUGGGCCAGUUGGUCUAAGCUACUAGCUGGCGUCAUGGCGAGAAGUGUGUUGGUAUUACGUCCAGAUCGACGAAGAAAGCUGUUUUCAUUACACACAGGUUCUCACCAUACAGGCAGGGACACUAGCCAACUCUGAACUGAGGUCCACAGCAUUUAGACAGCCGGAGUUCCUUGGAUUAAAACUACAUUACCUCCUUUCGACAGCACAUCAGGCGCCCACAGCCUACCAGAAGCGAAAUGAUACUGCCCCAGACAGCAGUUACCGCAGAACAAUUUGAACGUUGUGAGGCACUGGGCCCUGCUGGAGACACAUCUCUCGGACCGUGGACUCGGUGAAUUUCCAUAUUCGAUUUCAGGAAUGUACACACAGCUAAGCAAGCUAAAAAAAAAAAAAAGGGCUGCAUUUAUAGGCAUUCAUCUGAUCAACAUUUAUAAUGGAGUGUAUGCCUGGACUGGUGGGGAGAAAGCAUAAUGGCAAGACCUCAGGGAGUAGCUUUGCAAGCUUCCAGAUUUUUACCACUAUAGUGCAUUCAGCAUGUGUCCAGUUGGGUAAUAUAAUCUGGCAAAAUGGCCUUCUUCCUGUGGCUGGGUUUAUUCAUUUAUUUAGAAUCUAUAGAUAAGUCUAAUUUAAUUAUCCAGAGGCAAUAAAUCUAGGCAGACCUGGAGCCAAACAUCCAGGAUCAAUCACACCUGGGACCAAUGGAAGCAAAUUACUUUUUUAAUGCCUUGAAAAACAGCAGUAAUGGAAAAUGAUAUUUCACUGUGAGGAAUAGUGGCUUUAGAAAUGGUAGAGGGCCAGGAGCCAUGAUUUAUCUCCUCAGAUGAGUCAAUAACAAAAUAAAUAUUGGAUUAUGAAAGCCUUUAAAAAAUGAAAAAAAGGAUGCUAUUGCUCCUUAUUUAUCUGCAUCUCUCAGACUGUCAAAAGUAACAUGCGUCAAGUGUCAGGACUGUAAGGAUUGUGAACAUGAAUUUCCUCUCACAGACACAAUGAAGGCUGUGUUCUUGAGGAGACAGGAAGUGAAGAGUUAACCAUAAAUAUAGGGCUGUAAAUUGAUUCUCAGUUUAUGGAAGUAGAGUAUAGCACUUCACAUCCCUGUCAUACUGUUGUAGUGGUCAGAGGAUGGCAUAGACUGUAAACCAGAGAAAUUUUACAAACAGGACUGCUGUGUUUGAAUUACGGGACAGAACACUGGUUUACAUUUCUUUCCUGCCGUAAAACUUCCACCUCAGUGCCCGGACAGCAGAUGCUGCAUGAUUUACUACAUUCAACAAUCACUUACGAUAUCAGACAGAUUACAGUUCAUGCUCGGCGCAUUAGAUUUAAUAUUGAGUAAUGAAAAUAUACAACUGAACGAAGUCUCUUACAAACUGAUACAAGGGUGACAAGAGGGCACUCGUUGAGAAAAGGCAUGGCUGAAAGGAGUAGAAGAAUCAAGUUUUGCUAGCAUCCGCAGAUAAGUACUAUAUGAGUCUUCAAUUAAAAAGCCUUUAAUAUUUUGGAGGUUACGUACUUUAACAGUUGGGACCAAUCAUGUGUGUCCAACAACUAAUGCAGAGGGAAAACUGCAAAGAAAACUGCUGGGAGUCUGUGGUUGGAUCUACAACCACACUGCAAUCACUGCCUCUUCAGCCACUGCACAGGUAACUGAAAGAUGGCUUCCUGGAUGCUCAUGUCUGUGGUUUCUGAGGAAGUUUGUUAAGCAGUGUGAAACAGUGGUUACAUUUUAAUGACAGGGUUGAAGCUUCACAUCCUGGGCAGUGCAUUGCAGUUCUAAACUGUAAACACUCAUAACCAUGCAGUGUAAAAAAUUUCAAAUUAAGGAGGCUAAUUUAUGGAAUUAUAUAUUUAUAUAGCAGAUUUAUUUUAGACCAUUUUAAUUAUGCAAUCAUGUAGAUGAUUUCCUUUAGGCCUUCACAAUAUAAAUGAUUAACUGUUUUAAGCAAUUAUUUUAAAUUAAUUUUAAGCAAUAUUAUAUCAAUAACUUUGCUAGGGCCAACACUGACAGUGCUGAAGUGCUUAAAUUCAGGUAAAAAUAUCUGUUAAAUUCUAGCUAUUUACAUUCUAUUGUAAUUUUCUAUGGAAUUUCCAUUGUGAUUAAACAUUGACAUGUAAACAAAACACCAUACUUACAGGCUACUACUACCCAUUCCUUCUACUGCAGCAAAGAGCAAAGAUCCUUCAUGACUGAAUGGCUUCUUUAAUUUCAACAAGCAGCAAACUCUUUUAAACUCUUUUUAAAGUCUCCUCAUUAGAAAUACAAACAUGGUUAUAGCACAGCUUUUGAUUUUAGAACUGCACGACUUUCCCUGCUCACCCAUCCCAAUAGCACUACAUUCAGAGUUCCGACACAUUUUGGUUACAGUACACUUAGAAACAGUGAAAGACUUUUUAAACUGGUUGGUAUUGUGAAAGAAAGUAUCGUUGUUUUGCUCCUUGUUUAUGCAGCCAGUAAGAUUCGACAUGUCAAUAUGGAACUUGUUUUUAGAAGUUAUUUUUAUCCUUGAUUAACUUUUAAUUCUGCAAUAGUCUGUUUUUUAGGAUUGGCUUUGGUGUUUGGAAGAUUGAUUAGAAAGCAUGUUUUGCUAAAAUGGACAUGUAGUUGUCAGCUGCAUGGUAUCUAUUAGACUCAUGUUACCCAGAAAUUAGUUAGCAGAUCUUACAAUUGCUGUAACACAUAAUAUGUCCAGUUUGGUUGCAAGUAGUAGCCUAGAACUACUCUUUUAUUUUGUUUGGUUUGGCCUACUAAUGGGCUCUGUACAACUUAUUGCAAGAAACUUUAUGAAAAAGGUAUGGUUUAUGUUUUGGCCUGGUGCAAGUGUUGUAAAAUGAUUAUUUUCCCUUAUGAUGUUUUGAUGUCUCAUCAUGUCAUACUCUGAAUUAUGGUAUUAACAAUUAAUUGACUUAUAAUCAUCGGUAAUUAUCGGUUAUUGGCCAUGACAGAGAAAUGAUUAUCAGCCAAGGCCCAAACCAUAACACCCCCAUUACCAUGUUUCACUGAGGGGGUGCUUUGGAUCUCCACACUUUGCUCUUGCCCAUCACUCUGAUACAAGUCAAUAUUGGUCUCUUCUGUCAGAACUCUACAGACUCUCCUAGAUACUUGUUAAGCAGACUGUAACCUGGCCAUCCUGUUUCUGUGGCUAACUAGUGGUUUGCAUCUAGUAGUGAAGUCUUCUUCAAACAGUAGUUACUGACACAUCCACACCAGCCUCCUGAAGAGUGUUUCUAAUCUGUUGUACAGGGGUUUGGGUUUCUUUCUUCAUUAGGGUGAGAAUUAUUUGUUCAUCAACUAUAGAGGUCUUUCUUAGCCUACUAGGCCCUUUGCAAUUACUGUGCUCACCAGUGUUCUCUUUCUUCUUAAUGAUGUUCUAAACAGGUUAUUUUGGUAAGCCUAAGGGUUGGCCUAUGUCUCUAACUUUUUUUUUCUUCUUAUUUCUCAACCUCUUAAUGGCUUUCAGUAGCACAGCUGUGGUCCUCAUAUUGCCUGGAAUCAAGACUAGAUGGUAAAAGCUCUCUUGUAAGUGCACUAAGGAGGCAAUUGAACACACCUGACUAAUCAGGAACACCCAUGAAGCCAUUUUUCCCAAACAUUAUGGUGCCCUGAAAUGGGGGACUAUAUAUAUAAAAACUGCUGUAAUUUCAACAUGACGAAACCAGACUGUGUAAAAAUACCCUGUAAUAAAAAGAAUCUGCACUUUAA